rnacentral:rRNA from 1 species
AGCGAGACCGUGAGGUGGAGCGAAUCCCAAAAAACGCGUCCCAGUCCGGAUUGCAGUCUGCAACUCGACUACAUGAAGCUGGAAUCGCUAGUAAUCGCGGAUCAGAAUGCCGCGGUGAAUACGUUCCCGGGUCUUGUACACACCGCCCGUCACACCAUGGGAGUUGGCAACACCCGAAGUCGGUAGUCUAACCGCAAGGAGGACGCCGCCGAAGGUGGGGUUGAUGAUUAGGGUUAAGUCGUAACAAGGUAGC